UACGUAGGGACCAAGCGUUGUUCGGAUUUACUGGGCGUAAAGGGCGCGUAGGCGGCAAUUCAAGUCAUCUGUGAAAUCUCCGGGCUUAACUCGGAACGGUCAGAUGAUACUGCUUUGCUAGAGUGCGGAAGGGGCAAUCGGAAUUCCAGGUGUAGCGGUGAAAUGCGUAGAUAUCUGGAGGAACACCGGUGGCGAAGGCGGCAGCCUGGACCAACACUGACGCUGAUGGGCGAAAGCCAGGGGAGCAAACGGG
rnacentral:rRNA from 1 species